UACAGAGGUCUCGAGCGUUAAUCGGAGUCACUGGGCUUAAAGGGUGCGUAGGCGGCUGCGCAAGUCGGGUGUGAAACCCCGGGGCUCAACCCCGGAACUGCAUCCGAUACUGCGUGGCUAGAGGUAGGUAGGGGAGAUCGGAAUUCCUGGUGUAGCGGUGAAAUGCGCAGAUAUCAGGAGGAACACCGGUGGCGAAGGCGGAUCUCUGGGCCUUACCUGACGCUCAGGCACGAAAGCUAGGGGAGCGAACAGG
rnacentral:rRNA from 1 species